rnacentral:tRNA from 1 species
GGGCAAAUUCCAGAGUGGCCAAAUGGGGCAGACUGUAAAUCUGUUGUCUUUCGACUUCGGUGGUUCGAAUCCAUCUUUGCCCA